rnacentral:rRNA from 1 species
GAUGAACGCUGGCGGCGUGCCUAAUACAUGCAAGUCGAGCGAACAGACGAUAAGCUUGCGUCUCUGACGUUAGCCGCGGACGGGUGAGUAACACGUGGAUAACCUACCUAUAAGACUGGGAUAACUUCGGGAAACCGGCGCUAAUACCAGAUGAUAUCUUGAACCGCAUUGUUCAAUAGUGAAAGACGGUUUUGCUGUCACUUAUAGAUGCAUCUGCGCUGCAUUAGCUAGUUGGUAAGGUAAAGGCUUAGCAAGGCAACGAUGCAUAGCCGACCUGAGAGGGUGAUCGCCCACACUGGAACUGAGACACGGUCCAGACGCCUACGGGAGGCAGCAGUAGGGAAUGUUACGCAAUGGGGGGAAGCCUUACGGAGCAACGCGGAGUGAGUGAUGAAGGUCUUCGGAUCGUAAAACUCUGUUAUUAGGGAAGAACAUAUGUGUAAGUAACUGUGCACUUCUUGACGGUACCUAAUCAGAAAGCCACGGCUAACUACGUG